GUGCAUAGUCAUAGAUAAAUGCAAAUUUAUGAGAAUUUAUAAUCUUGUCAGUCUGUUCUGUAUCCGCAGCUCUAUAGGUGACCACAAUGGAGAGUCAUGAUGGCACCUGUCAGGGGCCUGUUAAAGGAUAGUAAAAGAAGAAGAUUCUUCGAAGCGUUUCUCUCUUCCUCAUUCAGCAUUAUUUUCUCAGUCAGUCAGUUAACUGCUUUCAUUCAAACUGCAGAGUCCUAGGAUAUGAUGCCAGUUAAAUCUGAUAUGAAAACAACCUGGAGCUAAAUGUCACCUGCACGUAGCUGGCCUCUUACUCCAACUCUGUUCUGCAGUCCUCGCCAUCACCUUUCUGAAGAUGUGAAAGAAAAGGUACAGAAAUAGACGUACAGCUGUUCAGAAAAACCUGUUUCAAAGUGAUCCUGCCGCAAAAGGGUGCCAAAGACCUGAGGGCUCCGCAAAGGGAAGUCCUCCCCUAAUCAAAGCAGGAGCCCUGACAUCUGCGGUUUGGCAUGAGCCGUUUGAUUUCUGUGGAGAUAGCCUCUCCAUCGAGAAAUGUGUGGGAUAAUAGUGCCGCUCUGUGGCCAGACAGUUUACUUAAAAGACAUUUCAGAGCUAUGAAUGUCUGGUCAGAUGAAACAGAUGCAUACCAGAGCCUCCUAUCAAGCCUUAGAGAAGACAAGCAGCAGCAAAGGCAGAAGAAACAUGAAAAAAUCAAGAGACAAUUCACUUGACCCACUAGUAUGUCAAAAAAUACCAACUACACUGAUCUUACAGUACAAUUUCCUAUGGAGAGGAAGUUUUUCCCAAAAUGAAGAACAAGCAGAUUAAGGACCAGACAACAAUAUAACUUAUUUUUAAGAAGAAAGAACUCUGACAAAUGGGUAACCCUUGGGGAGAAGCGUGCACUGCAGAGUGUGCAAACAGAAGGAUUGGGAUCUGCUGCACAUAGUAGUUCUCUUUUUUUAUUGCCAUCUAGAGAGCUUCCUGCCCUUUUUCCAUUUAUAGACUGGUUCCAGAAAAGAUCACACACGAGCACACACCUCAUGAUUUAUCACAUGCGUGGUGGUGUGUUUAUACUGUUAGAUUAACUCUGCAACAAGUGCUGUAAAUAAGCAUUAGCUUUUGAAUUAACCUAAAGCCUGACCAUAAUAACACAUCUUACAUACCCACGAGCUGCACAAAGCUCAUGGAGGCUCUUGGUGCCAACCAGCUCUGUGGGUUGACUGUAGGAGAGCCGUGUAUCACAGAAAUAUCUUGCAAAACAUGGUCUGUAGGACCCCUUGCAAUCCCAUGCAGUUUAUCUGGGUUUGAAUCCUUGUUUUGUUUUGUUUCUCAUUCCUCUUCCUUUCUUUAAAAUAUGGAAAACUGACACAUCUUGCCCCCAGGGUAAGAAAUAUGUCUCUGGUUGGCCACUAGUGACCCGGUCACUGACCAGACAGUCCCUUCCACAUGUUGAACUUCAUCCCCAGCAAUGGUGGCUUGCGACAUGGAGGCAUCACGAAAUCAUUGCUGGGGAGACUGCAUCUCCCACAGACAUGUGGGGGUUCCCCGCAGUCCCAGGGAAGUGCAGAUGAAUAACAUUUCCUUCUUCAUCCUCAGAGGUAUCUGGAGAGCAGCUCUGCAUUAAUGCCACAAUGAGAUUUGCAGCCACUUUCAGUUCUGCAUGCCUCUGAGCAUCCUUUUAGGAGCAAACCCCAACCAAUAAAGUAGUCAAAUACCAGCUUUGCUGGGCUUCU
rnacentral:lncRNA from 1 species